GCAUCUCAGGCCACUUCUUCCCCCUCCCUAUAACAUUGUUUUAGCUUCAGCACGAUAUUUGUCUUGAGGGCAUCAGGAUUCAUUUCUGUGGGCCUUGCUGAGUCAGGCUGUUUUACAUCAGCUCGUGGAGAAAAACACACGGGAUGCUGCGCCACCAGCCAACCUGGCUGUAAUCAUGCAGAAGAGCGUCCUGACCGACCCCUCUAACGAGGGCCAGCGGUUCCCCAGCAAGAACGUGGAAAGCAGCUGGCUUUUGUACCCACCUAGCACAAGGUGCUUGUCACAGGGCACCCCUGGGGGAGGAGAGAAAGCUUACUCCGGGGUGAGUCUUUUAAACAAAUUGUCUCGUAUCUGGAUGGUAAUCCCUACAGAGAAGGAAUGUCUCAAGGGCACCGUGACUGGGGAGGACUUCGCAUCACUUCUGGCUCAGGUGCACCCCAUCUACCAGUCGGUGUCAACGUGGUCCUUCUUAAAGAGCUCAGGAGUUCUGAUGCUUCAUGUGGAGGUGGGAAAUGAAGCCAUGCCCACAGCGGCUGGUCCUCAUGACUGAGGUUAAACCUGGGCACAGAGACUUGCUGGAAAGGGCUCUUCCUCUGGACCAGUUCAAGUGGCUCCGCUUCACCUGAAGAUAAGCAGGAACGUGCUCUGGGGCAAAAUCCACCAGUGGUCCCUUCUCUCUAACGCCAACGCGCAUGUGCAGAGGGGUUCACGGUGACUGAAGCACUUGACAGUGAAUUACCAUUCAGUCCUCACAAUAGCCUGUGAGGGGAGUGGGAAUGGUCCUGAUCUCUGCCUCGUACACGAGAGAACUGAGACUUAGAGGGAGGACGUGAGUUGUGUAAGGGGCACAGUUGGGCCUGAGGGGUCUCCUGGGCUGGCAGGCAGUAUAACACGACCAGGUCAAAGUGUAAGAGAAGGAGGCUGACUGGGAUGUCUCUUGGGUCCUUCCUGACCUAGUCUCCAGGCUGGACUCCCAGCUCUCACCUCUGUGGCCACCCACAAGCCCAGCAUGGUCAGGGCUGAAAACUCAGUCCUCUCACUUGUCCUGUCCCACCCUCUCGGGUGAGGCCUUUUUCACUCAACAAAAAUUUCCCGAGUGCCUCCUGUGUGCCAGGCACGUCCUAGCACUGAGGAUACAGCCGUGAGUGACACACCGCAGACCUCUGCCCUCCUCAAAGUUCCAUCCCCCCCCCCCACUCUCAUUUCUCCUCCGCCGCUCCGUGUGUGUUGGAGGUGGAGGCAUGGUCAGAAGAGCUGGAGCUGUGAGUCCAUCAUCCAGUGUUGAAGAAGCAGCAGGAACAACCCACUACUGAAUGUGAAAGAAAAGGAGGUAGUUCAGAAAUAAGGAAAAUGGAAAGGAGCUGGAGUAUUGGACGGGAAAAUGACAUGGAAUCCCACCAGACACUCUUAUUUCUGACAUGCAUUGGGCCUUUCUGAAUGUGGACGUUGCUGAGCCAACAGCGGAUCCAUAGUCCUUGUGAUUGGAUUUUGGUUCUCUCUCCCCAAAGGAAGGUGAGGAUUUGCACCACAGAAGCGGGAAUCCCUGUUAACUUCUGCUGCCAGGCAGGUACCGCAAAUGCGUGAUGUGUGUUAAAAAAGAAACUAAAAAAACAAAAAAACCCAAACGGGGGUGGGUGCGAUAGUAGCAGAGACAGCGGCCUGAACCGUAGUCCAGUGAAGGUUGACAUUCAAACACAGAAACCUCAUCCCCACGUGAGGUGUGGCCCACAUGCCACCAGUUUGUAACUCCUGGGGACUCUGGUUUAAAGAUGCUAGAUUCUGUCAGCCUCUUGCUUAUUAUGUGACUUUGGCAAAGUCACUUAGCCUCCUUGAACCGCUGAGUGGAACUAAACCAUGGCCCACAGCUCAGAGAUAGUGCUACGACAGGUCGGCCAAUGUGUGUCAAGUUCUGAGCAAUUCUUGGGUUUUUCUUGCAUGAACAACUCCUACUAGUACAACGAGCGGGUGGCGAGGGCUGCCGCAAGAUGACGACGUAGCAGAUAAUGGGGACCUGGGAGUUCCUGUUGGCACAGAUCCUAAUGUACCUUUGAAGACACUGAUUAAUGAAGCUGCGUGUCCCUCGUGAGGUGAGGUCAGGAUAACACUGCUUGUCUGCAGGUGUGUUGAGAGAUGGGAACCUGGGGAGAGACAGGGUUAGCCUCAUCCCAGCGGGGAAAGCAGAGCGGCUUCAGCUCAGUCUCCUAAAUGCCUCA